GACGAACGCUGGCGGCGUGCUUAACACAUGCAAGUCGAACGGAAAGGCCCUGCUUUUGUGGGGUGCUCGAGUGGCGAACGGGUGAGUAACACGUGAGUAACCUGCCCUUGACUUUGGGAUAACUUCAGGAAACUGGGGCUAAUACCGGAUAGGAGCUCCUGCUGCAUGGUGGGGGUUGGAAAGUUUCGGCGGUUGGUGAUGGACUCGCGGCUUAUCAGCUUGUUGGUGGGGUAGUGGCUUACCAAGGCUUUGACGGGUAGCCGGCCUGAGAGGGUGACCGGCCACAUUGGGACUGAGAUACGGCCCAGACUCCUACGGGAGGCAGCAGUGCGGAAUAUUGCACAAUGGGCGGAAGCCUGAUGCAGCAACGCCGCGUGCGGGAUGACGGCCUUCGGGUUGUAAACCGCUUUCGCCUGUGACGAAGCGUGAGUGACGGUAAUGGGUAAAGAAGCACCGGCUAACUACGUG
rnacentral:rRNA from 1 species